rnacentral:rRNA from 1 species
UUGAACGCUGGCGGCAGGCCUAACACAUGCAAGUCGAGCGGUAGCACAGAGAGCUUGCUCUCGGGUGACGAGCGGCGGACGGGUGAGUAAUGUCUGGGAAACUGCCUGAUGGAGGGGGAUAACUACUGGAAACGGUAGCUAAUACCGCAUAAUGUCGCAAGACCAAAGUGGGGGACCUUCGGGCCUCAUGCCAUCAGAUGUGCCCAGAUGGGAUUAGCUAGUAGGUGGGGUAACGGCUCACCUAGGCGACGAUCCCUAGCUGGUCUGAGAGGAUGACCAGCCACACUGGAACUGAGACACGGUCCAGACUCCUACGGGAGGCAGCAGUGGGGAAUAUUGCACAAUGGGCGCAAGCCUGAUGCAGCCAUGCCGCGUGUGUGAAGAAGGCCUUCGGGUUGUAAAGCACUUUCAGCGGGGAGGAAGGCGGUGAGGUUAAUAACCUCAUCGAUUGACGUUACCCGCAGAAGAAGCACCGGCUAACUCCGUGCCAGCAGCCGCGGUAAUACGGAGGGUGCAAGCGUUAAUCGGAAUUACUGGGCGUAAAGCGCACGCAGGCGGUCUGUCAAGUCGGAUGUGAAAUCCCCGGGCUCAACCUGGGAACUGCAUUCGAAACUGGCAGGCUAGAGUCUUGUAGAGGGGGGUAGAAUUCCAGGUGUAGCGGUGAAAUGCGUAGAGAUCUGGAGGAAUACCGGUGGCGAAGGCGGCCCCCUGGACAAAGACUGACGCUCAGGUGCGAAAGCGUGGGGAGCAAACAGGAUUAGAUACCCUGGUAGUCCACGCCGUAAACGAUGUCGAUUUGGAGGUUGUGCCCUUGAGGCGUGGCUUCCGGAGCUAACGCGUUAAAUCGACCGCCUGGGGAGUACGGCCGCAAGGUUAAAACUCAAAUGAAUUGACGGGGGCCCGCACAAGCGGUGGAGUAUGUGGUUUAAUUCGACGCAACGCGAAGAACCUUACCAGGUCUUGACAUCCUUCUGACCACUCCGUAAUGGGAGUUUUCCUUCGGGACAGAAGAGACAGGUGGUGCAUGGUUGUCGUCAGCUCGUGUCGUGAGAUGUUGGGUUAAGUCCCGCAACGAGCGCAACCCUUAUCCUUUGUUGCCAGCGGUUAGGCCGGGAACUCAAAGGAGACUGCCAGUGAUAAACUGGAGGAAGGUGGGGAUGACGUCAAGUCAUCAUGGCCCUUACGACCAGGGCUACACACGUGCUACAAUGGCAUAUACAAAGAGAAGCGACCUCGCGAGAGCAAGCGGACCUCAUAAAGUAUGUCGUAGUCCGGAUUGGAGUCUGCAACUCGACUCCAUGAAGUCGGAAUCGCUAGUAAUCGUAGAUCAGAAUGCUACGGUGAAUACGUUCCCGGGCCUUGUACACACCGCCCGUCACACCAUGGGAGUGGGUUGCAAAAGAAGUAGGUAGCUUAACCUUCGGGAGGGCGCUUACCACUUUGUGAUUCAUGACUGGGGUG